GAUGGAAUGACUGAUAAUAGGUAAUAAAUUGUAAAUUUAUGUAUGAUCGAUUGAUCUUUCAUCA
rnacentral:tRNA from 1 species